rnacentral:sRNA from 1 species
UGAUAGUGUCAAUCCAAGUUAGACUUGGC